UACGUAGGGUGCGAGCGUUGUUCGGAGUUACUGGGCGUAAAGGGUGUGUAGGCGGUUGUUUAAGUUUGGUGUGAAAUCUCCCGGCUCAACUGGGAGGGUGCGCCGAAUACUGAAUGACUCGAGUGCGGGAGAGGAGAGUGGAAUUCCUGGUGUAGCGGUGAAAUGCGUAGAUAUCAGGAGGAACACCGGUGGUGUAGACGGCUCUCUGGACCGUAACUGACGCUGAGACACGAAAGCGUGGGUAGCAAACAGG
rnacentral:rRNA from 1 species